rnacentral:rRNA from 1 species
UGAGGAAUAUUGGUCAAUGGGCGAGAGCCUGAACCAGCCAAGUCGCGUGAAGGAAGACAGUCCUAAGGAUUGUAAACUUCUUUUAUACGGGAAUAACGGGCGAUACGAGUAUUGCAUUUAAUGUACCGUAAGAAUAAGCAUCGGCUAACUCCGUGCCAGCAGCCGCGGUAAUACGGAGGAUGCGUGCGUUAUCCGGAUUUAUUGGGUUUAAAGGGUGCGUAGGUUGUUCGGUAAGUCAGCGGUGAAACCUGAGCGCUCAACGUUCUGCCUGCCGUUGAUACUGCCGGGCUUGAGUUCAGUGGCGGGAGGCGGAAUUCGUGGUGUAGCGGUGAAAUGCAUAGAUAUCACGAGGAACUACGAUUGCGAAGGCAGCUUGCCAUACUGCGACUGACACUGAAGCACGAAGGCGUGGGUAUCAAACAGG